rnacentral:rRNA from 1 species
UACGAAGGGAGCUAGCGUUGUUCGGAAUCACUGGGCGUAAAGCGCACGUAGGCGGACGUGUCAGUCAGGGGUGAAAUCCCGGAGCUCAACUUCGGAACUGCCUUUGAUACAGCACGUCUUGAGUCCGGAAGAGGUGGGUGGAAUUCCCAGUGUAGAGGUGAAAUUCGUAGAUAUUGGGAAGAACACCAGUGGCGAAGGCGGCUCACUGGCCCGUAACUGACGCUGAGGUGCGAAAGCGUGGGGAGCAAACAGG